rnacentral:rRNA from 1 species
UACGUAGGGUGCGAGCGUUGUCCGGAAUUAUUGGGCGUAAAGAGCUCGUAGGCGGUUUGUCGCGUCGGCCGUGAAAACUUGGGGCUUAACCCCGAGCCUGCGGUCGAUACGGGCAGACUUGAGUUCGGCAGGGGAGACUGGAAUUCCUGGUGUAGCGGUGAAAUGCGCAGAUAUCAGGAGGAACACCGGUGGCGAAGGCGGGUCUCUGGGCCGAUACUGACGCUGAGGAGCGAAAGCCAGGGGAGCAAACGGG